ensembl:lncRNA
GUGGUUUUAGCUGCCAGUUCUAAUGCAGCCUUCCAUUCCUUUCCUUAAUGGGCAGAUAUGUAAGUCAGGCAUCUGCUCUUCGUGUGCAUAUUAUCUGUUUUCCAAGAGAACAGCAUGUGCAUAACCUUUGAGCACUAAUGUUCUCAUAAGUUACCUGGAUAAGAUAUUAAGGCUGCAAUCCUCUAGCACUUCCUCGGGAGUUGCAUUGAAUUUAGUGGAGCUCACUUCUGGAUACAGAAAAUGCACAGGAUUUGACUAUCAGAAAAAUUGUUGGAUGGAGAUUUUUCUGGAAUAUUAGAGCAUUCCCUGUAACUUGCAACGAGUUCAGGACUUCUACCACCACUCUAGCAUGUGCUGAAAAGGAGACAUAGAACUGGACACAAACUGGGUACUGAUAACAUUUCAUCUGGAUGACGUCACCCACUAGUCUUGCAGAUAUUUAAAAGUCUGGAGAAGAUGGAAACCUAUCUGCAGCCCUCUCACAAACUGCAACACCUCAUAAUCUGAUGACAAUAGAAGGGAGUAAUGAUUCUCAGACUCCGGUGUCUCAGAUGUAGCCCAAGCAAGGCAGGAGAAGAAAGGUUGGUUGCUUAUGCUGGUUCCAAGAAAAAUGACUGUUACAGAGUUCAAAAAGGAAUGAAACCAAAUAGAAUGUUUUUGUUUAAAAGAACUAUGUUCCAAUUCCAGCUUUCAUGCGGUCAUCUGGAAAGCCCUGCAGACAGAUCAUAAGCGGGAGAGAGAAAGAGAGAAGAGAGAGGGGGAAGAUUUACAGUGUACAUUGAAAUGUAACCAAACAGAGCCGGAAAAGAAAAGGGACAGAGGAAGAAAUUAAAAAGAAACUUGCAGCCUAUUACGAAAUUAAGGUUUCAUUUUGAUAUUCUCAGUCCAGAUUUCAUCAGGUUGAUAACCUCUGCUGUCAUUCUUCAUAACAACACCAAAAACUUUUGGAAAAAUCACCACCCUUGUUCCCAUAUUCCUUUGUAAGCCCCCACUUGGUAACUAAGGAAAGGAAGUGGUUCAGCAGUGCUGUUCUUUUAUGUGUGCUUUUUAGACCUUGGAACAGGAUGAAUGGUAGUUGAGAUGAAUGCAUUUGUGCCAUUUUUCUUGGCCCCAAGACUAUGUUUCCUCACUACCAUGACAUCUGAACAGAAGGAGAAAACAUCCCCCUUUUGUGGCAGGCUAAUUUAAUUUGUACCUUCCACCUAGGGGUAAAUAUGUUUGUCUGUCUGUCUAAGCUCUCUUUGCCUACUCUCUUUUCUCACGGGAAACCCUGCCGAGUUGAAGGCAGGAUAUUGCUUAGCGCUCUAACUUUAUUUUAAAGUAAUUUAAUUUUAAGCAGACCUACACCCACUCCAAUGUGAAGCAACUCUAGAAUGCCUCUUGGGAGAAACCUUAAUGACUUUUGCAUGUCUCUCAUGUCACAGACAUCAAGGGCUCCGUUGUUUGAGAGGUGUUCCUCUGUUGAAAGAAAUAGUUUAAAACAAGGUCCCUUUAGAAAUAUUCUGAGCAUAAGAUGUGCGUUUUGAGUGCCUGUCCCAUCCCAACAAAAUCCUGAAGCUUUGCAUAUUGAUCAUUCAGCAUUAAAAACCAUUGACCUUUGCUCUUAGUUUAUCUGCUGCAUUAUUUGUGCUUUAACCUUGUUUCGUCUGAUAUUUCCAGUCAGGAGAUUUAAAACCAACACUCACUCAAGCUAUUUGUUUUCUGCAAAAUAUUGCGGUGGCUUGUGAGUUGGGUAAUGCCAGAUGCACCCAACUGCCUAAAUUUGACAGGAUUAACAAUUGGUGAAGGACCUGAACAUCCCAUGCUAACACAAAAUUGUCACAUGCCGUCAAGAAUGAAAAACAGGUUUCAUUUCUGAAUUUACUAGUUUCUACAUUCCUGAAAUCAGACCACAGGCCACAUGGAGUUUUUCAAAGGUGCCUUAACUAACCUCCCCAGCCCCUUUGCUAUUCCUGUUUAACAUAACAUCCCCAUGAAGUUCUCCUACAAAGCCUGCUAUUUUGUUAUCUAACCUUUUGCUUGGCCCUAGUAAAAGUAUUAUCCUGUUGAUACUAUUGAGUAUUAUCAGUUGGAACUGAUGUUAUUGUUCUCCAUAUAACAAUUUAAUUAUUGUGAGACUUUUAUUAUUGUUGUUUAAUAAAUUUAAUGUCUUGGCACA